rnacentral:rRNA from 1 species
GUACUUACUCCUACGGGAGGCAGCAGUGGGGAAUUGUUCGCAAUGGGCGCAAGCCUGACGACGCAACGCCGCGUGGAGGAUGAAGGUCUUCGGAUUGUAAACUCCUGUUGAUCGGGACGAAAAGCUUCAACCUAAUACGUUGGAGACUGACGGUACCGGUUGAGGAAGCCACGGCUAACUCUGUGCCAGCAGCCGCGGUAAUACAGAGGUGGCAAGCGUUGUUCGGAAUUACUGGGCGUAAAGGGCGCGUAGGCGGCCUCCUAAGUCGAACGUGAAAGCCCCAGGCUUAACCUGGGAACUGCGUUUGAUACUGGGAGGCUUGGAUUCGGGAGAGGGAUGUGGAAUUCCAGGUGUAGCGGUGAAAUGCGUAGAUAUCUGGAGGAACACCGGUGGCGAAGGCGGCAUCCUGGACCGACAUCGACGCUGAGGCGCGAAAGCUAGGGGAGCAAACGGGAUUAGAAACCCGUGUAGUCCAGGCAU